rnacentral:rRNA from 1 species
GGCUUAGGACGAACGCUGGCGGCAUGCCUAACACAUGCACGUCGAACGGGGGUAGCAAUACCCUAGUGGCGAACGGGUGAGUAACACAUAAGCAAUCUGCCCUUCACAGGGGGAUAACAGCGGGAAACUGCUGCUAAUACCGCAUAAGACCACGGUACCGCAUGGUACAGGGGUAAAAACGAAUCAGUGGUGAAGGAUGAGCUUAUGUCCCAUUAGCUAGUUGGUGAGAUAACAGCCCACCAAGGCGACGAUGGGUAGCCGACCUGAGAGGGUGAUCGGCCACACUGGAACUGAGACACGGUCCAGACUCCUACGGGAGGCAGCAGUGGGGAAUAUUGGGCAAUGGAAGGAAACUCUUACCCAGCAAUGCCGCGUGAGUGAAGAAGGUCUUCGGAUUGUAAAGCUCUUUGAUUGGGGACGAAGAAAGUGACGGUACCCAAGGAACAAGCCCCGGCUAACUACGUGCCAGCCGCCGC